UGCCCAUACAAUGUAUUAACUCAGCUGGAACACAUUUCAGAGCAAAAAUGCUAAAACGUAUGGAAACGAGCCCAACAGGUCUUAUUAGGACUUGCCGAGGGCAACCGGACUAGCUCUGAGUAACGUGAGCCGCAAAAGGGCCCGGCUGUCCGUUCACCCUGACUCCUCUGUACCCAGUCUACUCCACAUCUUAAUUUGCCUGCACAGGUGAACUGAGCAUCAGAAUACAUGGAAAGGGAAAGGGAAAAAUAUUUUAGGAUGUCUCAGGGAAAAUCAGAAGUGAAAAACUUUAUAUUUUCAGACUGCAGAUUUCUUGAGGGUAACAGUAUAUUUGAUUUUAUGUUUUAAUAAUGGAACUUUAAAAAUAGAGAAAAAUUAAAGAAAAAUUUGUUCUGUGAUUAAAUGAUUAAAAAAUAUUUGCUGAACAACUUCUAUAUGGACUUGAUCAAAUACUCUGAUAGG
rnacentral:lncRNA from 1 species